ACCCCCACGGGAUACAGCAGUAAUUAAAAUUAAGCAAUAAACGAAAGUUUGACUAAGUUAUGCAACAUUACAUAGGGUUGGUAAAUUUCGUGCCAGCCACCGCGGUCAUACGAUUAACCCUAAUUAAUAAAACCCGGCGUAAAGAGUGUUAAAAUUAUAAAAACAAUAAGAUUAAAUUUUAUCUAAGUCGUAAAAAACAACAGAUAAAAAUAAAACCAUAAACGAAAGUAAUCUUAAUAAACCUGAAUACACUAAAGCUAAGACCCAAACUGGGAUUAGAUACCCCACUAUGCUUAGCCAUAAACACAGAUAUUUAAUAACAAAAAUUUUCGCCAGAGUACUACUAGCAACAGCUUAAAACUCAAAGGACUUGGCGGUGCUUUAAACCCACCUAGAGGAGCCUGUUCUAUAAUCGAUAAACCCCGAUAUACCUCACCACUUCUUGCUAAUCCAGUCUAUAUACCGCCAUCUCCAGCAAACCCCAACAGGGAUUAAAAGUAAGCACAAUUACGCUCAUAAAAACGUUAGGUCAAGGUGUAACUAAUGAAGUGGGAAGCAAUGGGCUACAUUUUCUUCUCCCAAGAAAAUAAUAACAGUAAUCUUUAUGAAACUAAUGAUUUAAGGAGGAUUUAGUAGUAAAUUAAGAAUAGAGAGCUUAGUUGAAUUAGGCAAUAAAGCACGCACACACCGCCC
rnacentral:rRNA from 1 species